CAACAUUAUGGAGCUCUUGUUGCUUUUGUUUUCUUUCGUGGUGCUUUCUAAAGGUAUGGGAAGUUCUGCAAUUAAUUUACUUCAUGUGGUGAUUUGAUGACGAACAACCAUUCAUUUCCAUCUUUUGUCUUUCCAAGGGGUCUCCUCAGACAUUCAGCUUGUAUCAUCUGGGCCAGGAAUAGUGAGACCAGGAGAGAAUCUCAACCUGCUUUGUAAAGUCAAAGGUUUCUCCAUCUCUACCCGAUACUAUGCGUGGCAUUGGAUCCGUCAAGCUCCUGGGAAAGGUCUGGAAUGGAUUGCAUGGAUAUACCCCUAUAAUGGAGACAUAGCAUAUGCCCCUUCUCUGAAGAGCC